CCCUUAGAUGUUCUGGGCCGCACGCGCGCUACACUGACUACUUCAACGAGUUGUUUCCUUGAUCGAAAGGUCUGGGUAAUCUUUGAAAGGUAGUCGUGAUGGGGAUAGAUCCUUGCAAUUUUUGAUCUUCAACGAGGAAUUCCUAGUAAACGCAAGUCAUCAGCUUGCAUUGAUUACGUCCCUGCCCUUUGUACACACCGCCCGUCGCACCUACCGAUUGAAUGGUCCGGUGAAUCUUUAGGACUGUGGCUGAGGCCCUGCCUUGUGCGGGUCUGGCCGUGGGAAUUUAGUUAAACCUUACCAUUUAGAGGAAGGUGAAGUCGUAACA
rnacentral:rRNA from 1 species